rnacentral:rRNA from 1 species
CCUACGGGUGACAGCAGUGAGGAAUAUUGGUCAAUGGACGAGAGUCUGAACCAGCCAAGUAGCGUGAAGGAUGACUGCCCUAUGGGUUGUAAACUUCUUUUAUAUGGGAAUAAAAUGUUCCACGUGUGGGAUUUUGUAUGUACCAUAUGAAUAAGGAUCGGCUAACUCCGUGCCAGCAGCCGCGGUAAUACGGAGGAUCCGAGCGUUAUCCGGAUUUAUUGGGUUUACAGGGAGCGUAGGUGGAUUGUUAAGUCAGUUGUGAAAGUUUGCGGCUCAACCGUAAAAUUGCAGUUGAAACUGGCAGUCUUGAGUACAGUAGAGGUGGGCGGAAUUCGUGGUGUAGCGGUGAAAUGCUUAGAUAUCACGAAGAACUCCGAUUGCGAAGGCAGUUCACUGGACUGCAACUGACACUGAGGCUCGAAAGUGUGGGUAUCAAACAGGAUUAGAUACCCGUGUAGUC